AUGUACUUCACAUUUUUUGUACUGCUGAUCCUGAUAUCUUCAUCCUGUGAGGAUGGAAUUGAGCUCACCCAGCCGGACUCUGAGGUUGUGAGGCCCGGGGCAUCAUUGUCUCUCUCUUGCAAGGUGUCUGGAUAUUCUGUUACAGAUGAUAGCUAUGCAACAGGAUGGAUUCGACAACCCACAGGAAAAACAUUGGAAUUUAUUAAUUACAUCUGGGGAGGUGGUAGCAUUAUUCAGCAAGAUUCUUUGAAAAGCAAGUUUAGUAUCAUAAAGGAUGCCUCCAGCAACACAGUGACUCUACAGGGGAAGAAUCUGCAGACUGAUGACACAUCUGUGUAUUACUGUGUCAAGAGGAGCACAAUGUUUAAAGCACACUGA